rnacentral:lncRNA from 13 species
AUGGUGGUUUCCAUCCAAAAGUCCCGGCUGUGCAUGAGGAGCAACCUUUCUGUGCCUUUGUGUCCUCAUCUGCAAAGCAGGGAUGGUGAUGCAGUGGUGCCUAAGUUUCGGAGGGUAAAUGAUUUCAUUACGUGGAGUACUGAGAACAGCAUCUGGCCUAAAGUGAGUCCAAGCUCUAAUUUAUGUCCCUCGACAAUACUCACACCAAGCUCGCCAUCUGUACCACUGUGCAUGGAAGGAAGUUCUCAGGUUCAAGGUCUCUGGCAGAUAAACACAAUUUCAAGUUCACAGACAUCCUCAGCAGUCAUCAACUACCCCACCAAGAAAGCAAGACCUUGGUAUUGUUGGUCUUGCAUGCCUCAUCCUUUCCCAACGGAUGAUGGACUGGACAUGAUGUUGGCAUUUGCUCUGCUGAGUGAUGGGGUGGAGGUGAUGUCUCCAGAAACCCAGGACCUGGAAGCACUGCCAGGCCACCGUGAACAGAGUUCAGAUGAAAUGGACAUAAAGCCCCUGGUGAAUUGAAGAACUUGUAAGAAGCCUUCUGGGAUGACUUCUACGAUUGAGACUUCAUCUUUGUAUAGAAAUAGUGCAAGUGAGCCCAGAAACUCCAAACCAGACUGAGCCAUGAUUUUCUUUGUCUUCAUUUUAGUCAGGACUCUGGGUAUUAGGUGAAGAAGCUAAAUUCAAAUUGGCUUAAACUAACACACAAACAGAAAAUGAAGAAGAAUGUAAGGACUCAUAUACUAAAGAGUUCAGAGGCAACUGCCUUCAGGUACUGCGGUAUUUGGGUGCUCUGAGGACACUCACUGUCUCUGCAUCUCUCCAGGCUUGUUUGCUUAGACUUUGAUGUGGUUUGACUGUGUCCCCUCCCAAAUAUCAUCUCGAAUUAUGAUCCAAAUUGCAAUCCCCACAUGUCAAGGGCCAGGUGGGAGGUGACUGGAUCAUGGGGGUGGGUUUCCCAUGCUGUUCUUGUGACAGUGAGGGAGUUCUCAUGAGAUCUGGUUGUCUGACAAGUGUCUGGGUCUUCCUGCUUCUUGCUCUCUCUCUCUUCUGCUGCCAUGUAACACAUGCCUUGCUUCCCCUUCCUCCAAGACUGUAAAUUCCUGGGGCGUCUCCAGCCAUGUAGAACUGGGAGUCAAUUAAGCCUCUUUUGUUUUGUAGAUUACUCAGUCUCAGGUACUAUCUUCAUUGCAGUGUGAGAAUGGACUAAUGAACAGUUGCUGGUGUAUUAGGAGGCUGGCUCUCUCCUCUGAUGUGAUGUCUCCAGGAGCCCCACUUCCUUUGCCCAGCUUCCCUAUCCCAGUGGAAAGAAACCUCCUUUGCUGUUUACACAACAGCCCUUGGAUCGGGUUUCAUUUGAAGGGUGAUUCUCAUGUGAUUCUCCCUGAGCCAACUGCCACAGCCAAGGAGAAGCCCUGCACUGAGAGAACAGGGCUGGGUCCACCUUACCCAUGGACAGAGCUGUCAGGACUCAGAAGCAGCAGCAGGUGCUGGGUGGGUAAACCAGGGGGGUCCUCCAACUCCUGUCAGUCUCUCCUCCUGCUCAUGGGGCACAGCCUGUGGUGCCCCUCUCUGUCCUGGAGGACUCAGCACUGGAGCUCCCUGCUCACUGGGGACCAUGUGGCUGGAGCACAGGAUACCUAUUUACUGGGAAUAUUUUUUCCCAACAGCCCCAUUGCUUCAUUUUUAGACACCACACUUAAUUCACGUACAAAUCUGAAAUCACAUUGAAUGGGAAUGUGAGUGUAAGGCCAGUUGCCUCGCCCGGAGCUCGGACAUGCCCAUCCCUCUCCCCGCCUGAAAAUUACAUCACCAGAAUAAGACCAUCAGCUAGCUCUGCCUUGGAAAUCCCCUCUGCACUCAGCACUAAGCUCUCCACCGGACACCUAGCCUGCUCACCGGAAAUCCCGUCUACCUACCAAUAGCAGCUUGCCACGUUCACAUCCUGUUUCUCCACAGCCAAUCAGAAUGCCUUCCCUCCCUAUAAAACCCCCCAGGCCUGAGCGAAGUCGGGCGUGACUUCUCUGGCUUCUUUCCGUGGGUUCAUAUAACUUCGCCUGGGAGCCGAAUAAAUUGGCAUCUGAUUGUUCUCA